GACGAACGCUGGCGGCGUGCUUAACACAUGCAAGUCGAACGGAAAGGCCCUGCUUUUGUGGGGUGCUCGAGUGGCGAACGGGUGAGUAACACGCGAGUAACCUGCCCUUGACUUUGGGAUAACUUCAGGAAACUGGGGCUAAUACCGGAUAGGAGCUCCUGCUGCAUGGGGGGGGUUGGAAAGUGUCGGCGGUUGGGGCUGGACUCGCGGCUUAUCAGCUUGUUGGUGGGGUAGUGGCUUACCAAGGCUUUGAGGGGUAGCCCGCCUGGGAGGGUGGCCGGCCUCCUGGGGACUGAGGGACGGCCCAGUCGCGAACGGUCGGCAGCAGGGGGGAAUAUGGCGGAACGGGCCCGCGUCUGAGGCAGCAGCGCCCCGUGCGGGAAGCCGGCCUUCGGGUUGUAAACAGAUGUGGCCUGUGACGUGGCGUGAUUGACGGUAAUUGGUCAAGAAGCACCGGCUAACUACGUG
rnacentral:rRNA from 1 species